rnacentral:rRNA from 1 species
AUUGAACGCUGGCGGCAGGCUUAACACAUGCAAGUCGAACGGUAACAGGAGAAAAGCUUGCUUUUCUUGCUGACGAGUGGCGGACGGGUGAGUAAUGCUUGGGAAUCUGCCUUAUGGAGGGGGAUAACUACGGGAAACUGUAGCUAAUACCGCGUAAUAUCUUUUGAUUAAAGUAUGGGACUUUCGAGCCAUAUGCCAUAAGAUGAGCCCAAGUGAGAUUAGGUAGUUGGUGAGGUAAAGGCUCACCAAGCUGACGAUCUCUAGCUGGUUUGAGAGGAUGACCAGCCACACUGGGACUGAGACACGGCCCAGACUCCUACGGGAGGCAGCAGUGGGGAAUAUUGCACAAUGGGGGGAACCCUGAUGCAGCCAUGCCGCGUGAAUGAAGAAGGCUUUCGGGUUGUAAAGUUCUUUCGGUAGUGAGAAAGGGUUUAAUGUUAAUAGCAUUAGACAUUGAUGUUAGCUACAGAAGAAGCACCGGCUAACUCCGUGCCAGCAGCCGCGGUAAUACGGAGGGUGCGAGCGUUAAUCGGAAUAACUGGGCGUAAAGGGCAUGCAGGCGGUUAUUUAAGUCAGAUGUGAAAGCCCCGAGCUUAACUUGGGAAUUGCAUUUGAGACUGGGUAACUAGAGUCCUCUAGGGAGGGGUAGAAUUCCAUGUGUAGCGGUGAAAUGCGUAGAGACGUGGAGGAAUACCGAAGGCGAAGGCAGCCCCUUGGAGAGAGACUGACGCUCAUAUGCGAAAGCGUGGGUAGCAAACAGG